rnacentral:rRNA from 1 species
GUUGAAAUACCGGUUCCCGUACGAUCACCGAAAAAGCAACAUCGAACCCUAUCAGUACCUAGAUGGGUGACCAUUUGGGAAUACUAGGUGGUGUAA